GGCACAGUGGCCGAGUGGUUAAGGCGAUAGACUUGAAAUCUAUUACGUUCGCGUUCGUAGGUUCAAAUCCUGCCUGUGUCG